rnacentral:lncRNA from 1 species
GCAGCUCUGGGGUGGAGGGAAGGGUUCCGCUCUGGCUGCCCCCCUUAUCUGAAGUAGGGCUCUCAGGGAGAAAUGCCCUGGGGCUUAACACGUUGUAUUAAACCAGAGCUCCCAGUAUUUCCACCCUCCCCACCAGGAAAUCUUGGCCCUGCUGCUGGCCACAUGUCCUGGGUAUCUUUCAUUUUGCUUCCCCUUUUGUCUGAGAGCAUAGCCCUUGAUUUCUUUGGGGAAGAAAAAGAGCACCAUCUUUCUACCCUUCCCGUCAUCCGGGUCAGCUCAGGACUGGUGCAUAGUCUGAGUGGAAAACUUACUGGAGUGGGUGUGAGGCGUGAACUGGACUAAUCGAACUUUCCGAAGACUUGCCCGAGUGAGAAUAAAUCCAGAAGACAGUGGGCGGCACAGCCAAGAGAUAGAGGCAGAGAGAGAGAGAGAACACCCACCGAUGACAUCACUUGAGUCCCCUGACCAGGCUCCAAAUAGGCAGUUUUAUCAAAAACUCAGACCUUGUCCCCACGUCUUCCCUAGGCACUGCAUCCAGAGCUCUCUGCCAGAGAGUAGACAGCAGCAAAGAUCAAACCAAGGACAAGGGAGGACCUCCCAGAGGGAAGAGCUGAAGGCCACAGAGCAUGCCAGCCAAGGGAGGCUGUCCUGAGCAGAGCCAAGGUCCCCAGAUGGGUUGACCAAGUGACUCACCUGCUGACAGACAAAAGUGUAUUUAGUUCCUGCCCCGCAGGACUUGACCGUGGCCGUGGACCAGCAGUGUGUGUGCUUUCUUUGGAUCUCAUUUCUGAGUGGGGCUUCGUAUUACAGUCUUCCUGAUCCUGUGCCACCAUCACGUACGUGGUGGGUAUGGAAGGGAUGGGUAGUGAGGGAGGUCACGUGCUUUCUCCUACCACCAGGGGCUGCAGUGGGCCCUGACAGCCUUGCACUCAGGUACUCCUGGUGGAGGCGCCACAGUGAAUCCCAGGACUUGUCUCCCUUGGAGA